CGUAACAAGGUCUCCGUUGGUGAACCAGCGGAGGGAUCAUUGCUGGAACGCGCCCCAGGCGCACCCAGAAACCCUUUGUGAACUUAUACCUUUUGUUGCCUCGGCGCAUGCUGGUCUCUAGUAGGCCCCUCACCCCGGUGAGGAGACGGCACGCCGGCGGCCAAGUUAACUCUUGUUUUUACACUGAAACUCUGAGAAAAAACACAAAUGAAUCAAAACUUUCAACAACGGAUCUCUUGGUUCUGGCAUCGAUGAAGAACGCAGCGAAAUGCGAUAAGUAAUGUGAAUUGCAGAAUUCAGUGAAUCAUCGAAUCUUUGAACGCACAUUGCGCCCUCUGGUAUUCCGGAGGGCAUGCCUGUUCGAGCGUCAUUUCAACCCUCAAGCAUUGCUUGGUGUUGGGGCACUGCUUUUAACGAAGCAGGCCCUGAAAUCUAGUGGCGAGCUCGCCAGGACCCCGAGCGUAGUAGUUAAACCCUCGCUCUGGAAGGCCCUGGCGGUGCCCUGCCGUUAAACCCCCAACUUCUGAAAAUUUGACCUCGGAUCAGGUA
rnacentral:rRNA from 1 species